CCCUCCCCCAUGAUGUAGCUCUGGGGUCCAGCCACAGGGUGGCAGGCUAGCCAGGAUUUCCCAUCUUUCCUCUGCCAAGCCUAGACCAAGCAUUUCACCAGCUGCAUCGGGUGCAGCCUGCGUCUCCCAGUCAAGCGCCUGUGGGAGGAAGAUCCGGCUGCCGCCUGUGGGCAGCCACUUGGAGCAUCUGCCGUCGUCCCCGCAAACAAGAGAGCAAACUUGAGAGACGAUACUUUAAAAACUUUGUAUUCAAUUAUUCACACCAAAGAAUAUCCAUUAAAAUUAUGAACAUUUCUAAAUAGAUUUCAUGUAUCAUACAUAUAUAUAUACUUUAUAUGUAUAAUUACAUAUCCACAAAAGAUUGUUACUGCUUUAGGCAUGUGGGUAGAACAAAGAUAGAGAUUCUGCAGUGUAACACCCAUAUAUGCUUAUAUACUGGCUGCUUGAAUUAUGAAUUUAUUUACACCUCGCCCGAGUUAUAAUAAAUGAUUACUGUUCUAUUAUACAAACGUAACAGUAAAGGUUUUUUAAAUACAAAGACUGCAAAUGAAUACAUGAAAAAUUACACACAUGUACAAUAUUUAUAAUUUAUAAAUGUAAAGAUAAGACUUCUUUAAAUUAUUGCACUUGCGCACUUUACAAAGAUUUUUUUUUAACGUCAUACAUAUAAAAUCAUCUUUUUGGAAUUUACUAACUCAUCGACUAUAAUAACAUUGGAUAUUGUGAACUUGGAAUUCUUUCUUUCCCCCUCCAAAAGAGAGCCCAUUAAGGCUUUGGCUGCAGACCCAUCCACCGAGGAUCAGUUGCUCGGACCUGUGCUCCUGUUCCCGCGGGUGUUGGCCAGCGAGGAGGCUGUCACCGUGACCUCUGAGGUGCCUUGGCUGGGUGUGGAUGGAGAAUCUCUUUUGUUCCUAUGUUCACGUGGAGAAAGUUGUUCUUCUCAGAAAGAAUCCAGACGCUGCACUUGUAGUUUGGAAAGUGUUUCACAGUGUUCUGGGCAAGUACGUGAUUUUUAAAUAGGUAGGGCCCUGUACAGAAAUACUUCUGUGCAUCAAUCAACUGCACUUCUUUUGUACAGUAAAUGAACAUGUAGCAUAUACUCCAUACAACAGAUCAUAUGGAAACAGUAUUCCCACACGCCAUUUCUAUUCACUAUUCUAAGAUACAGCAUAAGACUGGGGAUAAGGGUGACCCAACCAAAGAAGAGAGCGGGGACGCCCAUGGUAGAGUGAUCUUUUAGGUGGGCUAGACAAAAACAAGUGUUUGGGGGGAAAAUUUACAUCAGAGAUAAAACAUCUGCAAAUGUAUAUUCCUGGAGGUUAAGCACUGAGAUGUGUGUGCUCACUUCCUUUGCAGUCGACUCUGUAUGCAGCUAAGGUUCUGCCCUGGUGUCUGGGCGUUAUCUGUGCCCCCCACCCAGGGUCAGCCCUAGUGUGUUGUUUCAGUUACAAAUCCUCACAAUUACAGUAACAGCAGGCAGACUGCUCACAGCCCACACAGCACCAACUUCCACUACUGAGCAGGGACAAGUCAGGUGACUGAGGCAGUGUUUCUUUGGGUUCUGAGUGUGUUUUUCUUAAGGAGACAUCAGCUUUGUGGUUCUAUACUCCUCACUGGCAACAAGGACACCUCUAAGCAUUUUUUUUUUCUUUCUUUUGCUCUGUUUUUGUCAAUGCAUAAAACGCCUUAAAUACUUCUAUUGAUCACACUGUACAGCUUUGUUUAACAGUAAGAAUGUUGUACUCCACUGGGCAUCUCUAAUUUAAACUUAGUAUAAAUAAUGCGGCCAAAUGGGCAGCAACAGAAGCUCCCAUGUGGAAAUGUAACUGUCACGCAAGGGGAAGCCACAGCUGACAGCACACGUGACUUAACUCCAACUUCACACUGACCGUCAAGUCAGACUGAUAGUUGAAACAGAAGGGGACUGUGAUUGGAUGAACAGUCUUCCAAGAAUCCCCCUGCACACAAGGCCAGCGGAGCACAAAGCAAAUGCGGGUUUGGAAUAUACAGAGAGAAGUGACUUUCAAUAAAUACCAAAGCCAGCCGAGGAGCCAUGACCCUUAGAGAUCCAUCCGUGCCUCUGACUGGAGCCACAGAUCUCGACAAACCAGAGGACCCCAGGGUAGGUGUCAGUGACAUGGGAUGAUAACAGGAACCCGAUGAGCAAAGAUGGACCUAACCAGGGGCAUGCCCCUUUACACAUACUGUCCCUUACACUUGAGAAAGGCCAAAGAUGAGCUCAAGAGGGGGGGGGGAGUCAGCAUUUAAAAUAAGGGCCCAAGGCCAAGGCAGGGUGAAUACUUUAGUCCUGUUCAACUGAGGUCUUAAUUUAGACCCAGGAGAGCAGAAACACCACAGGCCAAGCGAAGCCCAUUGGAAGACCUGGUGGGUCCCUGAGGCCGCCAUGCAGCAACAGGCAGGCUGUGCUCACACAUCAAGCACAUACGUGAACACAGCGGGGAGGGGGAAAAGCAGAGUUCACUGCGUGUGCACAAAAUAAAAAACGCUAACACAUGCUAGAAAGAGGAACCCGACACCGACCAGGUCAGGUCAAACUGACUCUGUCUGCUGUGGGAAUGAGUCACCUGAAGCCUCACAGUGACAGGCACCAGCGCACUCUUCCAACCGGAAGGAGCUGGGGAUAGGAUUCUGCCUCUCUCUUCCUGUGUCUCACUUACUAGGAAGGUAUGAAGCUGUCUUCACCCCCGGCACGCUUUCCACCGCCUCCACGGCUGCUCACACCCUCUACUUUGUUCUAAUCAACUAACUGGUGUUUACAAAUGUGAGGACUCUGUUUCACCGCCCCGACUCGAUACUUCACAUUAGUGUUGGCAUGCACUCACGUAUCCGAGAACAUUUUCCCAGACAAAAAGGUACCACAACAUGUGGGAAGCAAUUAAACAACCACCAUGACUAUAAAAUUUGUGCAUUAAAAUGAUGAUAAAUAAUUUACAAAUGCAACAUUCUGUUUAUAUUCAUUACUAGUCACUAAGCUUGCAUCAGACACUAAGGAGAAAUCCCUGGACAUCUUUGGUGGGAGAAAACACAGUGAGAAAAGAGGUGGG